AGUUUACCUGGAGGUCUCUGCCUACAUGAAGAUCUUACAGGUCUUCCAAAGCUGUCUGCAAGAAUCUUUGUGUUAUGAUCCAUCUCUCCCUCUACUCCACCAACCAGCACCAGAACACACAGUUUGUCUUUCACAUCGCCCCAGUGAUGGUGCAGCACCCGCUGCCAGCUAAAGCUCUGCAAAGAUAACUUUGUGCAGGACAGAAGAAAUGAGCGACAGGUUGCACAUCUGACUGGGGGGAGCACCAAGCUGUGGCUGAGCACCCCAGCUGCCUGGGCUUGCCAUUCUGCACACUGGCCCCACUGCAUUCCAUUCUGCAGCUCCACAGCCUGCAGUUCCAGGCAGCAACAGCACAUAUGAAGAAGUGGAGAGUAGAGUCAGCUGAAGCUGGGUUCUGUUAUUUAUUGGAUGAACUACUUGCUAAGCAAGGCAGAUGGAAAACUUAGAACACUAAUGAAUAUGCAGUUCUGCAUUUUGUCAGUUUUCCCAUUAUGUCAUCAUGUGACAUUAAUAAGCAGUCACUUCUAAUUGACUUUAAAAUCCAUUGCAAAGAGGCUUUGCAAAGCAUGGGGAGCCGAUCCCGCUGGCACUCAUGUAGUGCCUGCCCCACAUGGGCUAGAAAUGCUGCACCAACUGCCAAGCAGACAAGAAGGGGCCAUCCUAUUCUGUCUGCUGAGGGCUGGAGCUGGGCUGGCAUCAGUGCAGUGCUGGGUUCUGUGAAGCUCUGUUGGAGUUUCAGCAUUUUCUGUGCACUGUGGGAAUAGUCAAAGGCAGAGGGUUUGCAGGGUUGCACACCCUAAGCAGGAGUAUGGCUGUACACCUCCAUAUAUACCACAGGGUAGUCAUUUUUAAAAACGCACCUUCCUCUCCAAAAAUGCCCUCCAGCUUUCUAUCCUGCACACCCAGCCCCAUGUGGCCGUGAGCUCUGAGCUCAGGCUGCCCCAGCUCUGCUCCGUUCCCCAUCUACCAGCAGUGCAGCACUUGGCAGGAAGGUGGCUGCAGGCCUGUACUGCCACACUGCUCCCUACCCACACUGCUCACAUGAAUGGAUCAUAUUUGCUGUGAGCGUGAAAUUAUUUUUUAUACUCGUGAAAAGAGCAUGAAUAGAAGGGCUCUAUUUCAUUUUUGUGUGGCCGUUCCCAGGACAGCACUGUGAACACUGUGGCACUUCUCCAGGGCCCAGCCCACUGAGUGCAAAUGACAAAAGUGGGACAUGGGGAGAGGGGAAGGAAGAGGCUGACAGCAGGAAUCAUCUCUAAUUGGGUUUUAACAAAGUUAUCAGUUUAGUGUUCAAGCCACUAAAGACACAAUACUGACAACAGCUCAAAUGAAUUGUAAGUCUGCAACACAAACAGUCCUGAAAAUUUUGUAUUUACAUGGCAAC